rnacentral:lncRNA from 1 species
AUUCAUCAGGUUCUGCAAAUCUGCUCCAGUAAAACCCGGAGUUCUCCUUGCAACCUUCUCGUAAUCCACAUCCUUUCCAAUAGCCUUCCCUCUAGAAUGCACCUGCAAUAAACCGUACAACAUUAUUUCUCACAUUGUCCCCAUUGUUUCACUAAACCAAACAUGAUAAACAAGAAGAAACCUGAAGGAUCUUGACUCUUCCAGCUACAUCAGGCCUAUCCACUGUGACUUGUCUGUCAAAUCUACCGGGUCUCAACAAUGCGGAGUCAAGAACAUCAGGUCUAUUGGUUGCAGCCAACACAAUGACACCAGAAUUACCAGAAAAUCCAUCCAUCUCAGUCAAAAGCUGGUUAAUCGUCUGUUCCCUUUCAUCAUUUCCACCUCCCAUCCCAGCUCCUCUUUGCCUACCA